rnacentral:tRNA from 1 species
GAGGGUAUAACUCAGUCGUAGAGUGCAUGCUUAGCAUGCAUUAGGUCCUGGGUUCAACCCUCAGUACUUUCA